UACGUAGGGUGCAAGCGUUAAUCGGAAUUACUGGGCGUAAAGCGUGCGUAGGCGGCUUUGCAAGACAGAUGUGAAAUCCCCGGGCUUAACCUGGGAACUGCAUUUGUGACUGCAUGGCUGGAGUGCGGCAGAGGGGGAUGGAAUUCCGCGUGUAGCAGUGAAAUGCGUAGAUAUGCGGAGGAACACCGAUGGCGAAGGCGAUCCCCUGGGCCUGCACUGACGCUCAUGCACGAAAGCGUGGGGAGCAAACAGG
rnacentral:rRNA from 1 species